rnacentral:rRNA from 1 species
UACGUAGGGGGCAAGCGUUGUCCGGAAUCAUUGGGCGUAAAGAGCGCGUAGGCGGUCCGGUAAGUCCGCUCUGAAAGUCCGGGGCUCAACCCCGGGAGGCGGGCGGAUACUGUCGGGCUAGAGUCCGGAAGAGGCGAGUGGAAUUCCUGGUGUAGCGGUGAAAUGCGCAGAUAUCAGGAGGAACACCGGGUGGCGAAGGCGGUUCUCUGGGCAUGUCCUGACGCUGAGGAGCGAAAGUGUGGGGAGCGAACAGG